rnacentral:rRNA from 1 species
CCCUUAGAUGUUCUGGGCCGCACGCGCGCUACACUGAUGCAUUCAACGAGCCUAGCCUUGACCGAGAGGUCCGGGUAAUCUUUGAAACUGCAUCGUGAUGGGGCUAGAUUAUUGCAAUUAUUAAUCUUCAACGAGGAAUGCCUAGUAAGCGUGAUUCAUCAAAUCGCGUUGAUUACGUCCCUGCCCUUUGUACACACCGCCCGUCGCUCCUACCGAUUGAGUGUGUUGGUGAGGAGUUUGGAUUGGCCUCGGAAGGUGGUUCGCCACCGUCCGUAGCUGAGAAGUUCUCCAAACCGCCCCACUUAGAGGAAGGAGAAGUCGUAACA